AGCAUAUCAUUAAGCGGAGGAAAAGAAACUAACAAGGAUUCCCUUAGUAACGGCGAGCGAACAGGGAAGAGCUCAGAACCGAAUCCUACGGUGUGAUGCCGUUAGGAAAUGUGGUGUUUGGGUGCUGCUCAGGAUUGUGUUCUUGCCUAUAGGUCCACGUGAUUGUGGCUCAGUUCCACGGAGGGUGAAAGUCCCGUAAUAGGUGAGAGUGCUAUUCUAUGUGGCACCCUAGAGUCGGGUUGUUUGGAAAUGCAGCCCUAAGUGGUGGUAAACUCCAUCAAAAGCUAAAUACAACACGAGACCGAUAGCAAACAAGUACCGUGAGGGAAAGUUGAAAAGAACUUUGAAGAGAGAGUUCAAUAGUGCGUGNAACCGCUCAGAGGUAAGCGGGUGGAGCUGAAAUUAUGGUGUGGUGAUUGAUGUCUUCCUGUGUCUGGAGUUUGAGUUAGCUGAUCCACUAGGACAGUUGCUCUUAUUCCGUUGAUGUGGGUUGGCUGUUUUUCCCAUGCUCUAACCACGAUCGGCGGUGUGCUGGUCUGUGUAGCGGGAAAGGUAGCCUGCUUUCUUCGGAGAGCAGGUGUUACAGUCCUGUUGCGCGGUAUUGGUAUGCUGCUGAGCGCUGCGGUCCAGUAUGCACAAGCGAUUACAUAUUUGAUGGCAUAGGUAGGUGACUCAUUAGAGUUGCCUGUCUAUUGCUGUUGUUAUUGUAGUGGCCGCUGUGUGAUGGUUCCGAUAAUCUGUGGUUGUCAGUAAGCUUUCCACCUGUCCCGUCUUGAAACACGGACCAAGAAGUCUAACAUGUACGCGAGUCAUUGGGUCUUACGAAACCUAAAGGCGUAUUGAAAGAAAAGACUAACACUUUGGUUAGUUGAGGUAUGAUCCUUGUUCCCUCGGGGAUGGGGCGCAAUACCGGCUUGUCUCAUGCUUUUUAAGCGAGGCAAAGCUAGAGCGUACAUGAUAGUACCCGAAAGAUGGUGAACUAUGCUUGCAUAGGUUGAAGCCAGAGGAAACUCUGGUGGAGGACCGAAGCGCUUCUGACGUGCAAAUCGAUCGUCAAAUGUGAGUAUAGGGGCGAAAGACUAAUCGAACCAUCUAGUAGCUGGUUCCCUCCGAAGUUUCCCUCAGGAUAGCUGGUACUCGUGAAACAAACAGUUUUAUCCGGUAAAGCGAAUGAUUAGAAGUAUUGGGGACGAAAUGUCCUCAACUUAUUCUCAAACUUUAAAUGGGUAAGAUGCUGCACUCGCUUAAUUGGAGUGUGGCAUUGAAUGUGAGUGCCUAGUGGGCCAUUUUUGGUAAGCAGAACUGGCGAUGAGGAAUGAACCUAAAGCGGUGGUUAAGGUGCCUAAAUGAGCGCUCAUGACAUACCACAAAAGGUGUUGGUUGAUAUAGACAGCAGGACGGUGGCCAUGGAAGUCGGAAACCGCUAAGGAGUGUGUAACAACUCACCUGCCGAAUCAACCAGCCCUGAAAAUGGAUGGCGGUGGARCGUUCUACCUAUACCGCGCCGUUACAACGAUGAAUUUCAGGAUGUUGUAACGUGUAGGAGGGCGACGUGGUGAGCAUUGAAGCUCUAGCUGUAAAGCUGAGUGGAGCCGCCAUGUGUGCAGAUCUUGGUGGUAGUAGCAAGUAUUCAAGUGAGAACCUUGAAGGCCGACGUGGAGAAG
rnacentral:rRNA from 1 species